UACGAAGGGUGCAAGCGUUAAUCGGAAUUACUGGGCGUAAAGGGUGCGUAGGCGGUUCGUUAAGUCUGUCGUGAAAUCCCCGGGCUCAACCUGGGAAUGGCGAUGGAUACUGGCGAGCUAGAGUGUGUCAGAGGAUGGUGGAAUUCCCGGUGUAGCGGUGAAAUGCGUAGAGAUCGGGAGGAACAUCAGUGGCGAAGGCGGCCAUCUGGGACAACACUGACGCUGAAGCACGAAAGCGUGGGGAGCAAUCAGG
rnacentral:rRNA from 1 species